GUAGGGAGUGACAAAUCUUUCCAUUUCACUUCCUUAUCUUUCUGAUCUUAGUUCUCCACAUUUCCACAUCAGCUUGCGAAUUCAUGUAAUGUUUGACUGAUCUCCUUCCAUGGGAAUAACUGUAGCAUGCACAGGAUGCAGGGAGGGAGAAGCUGGCAGGUUGUGAAUUCUCCCUCAAAGACAAAACCUUUGGCCUCCUCUCUAGCAACAGCGGCAACCGUGAUCCUUACCCUGCUUUGCAAAGAUCUGAAGAAGCCCAAAAUCAUAAAGCCACAUGAAGUGAUUUGGGAGAAGCCAGCCACUUUCAGAUGUACAGCAGCAGAAAUGUGCCCAGGGACUAAGCCCCAAAUCACCUGGCCUACACAACAUAUCCAUGGAAUACUCAACAGAGCAAUUGGAGCUCGACCUAUGGAGUUGACAUCACCUUCAAGCCCAGCUUAG
rnacentral:lncRNA from 1 species